rnacentral:rRNA from 1 species
GGGUUGUGAGGUUAAGCGAAUAAGCGUACACGGUGGAUGCCUAGGCAAUCAGAGGCGAUGAAGGACGUGCUAAUCUGCGAAAAGCGUCGGUAAGGUGAUAUGAACCGUUAUACCCGACGAUAUCCGAAUGGGGAAACCCAGUAUCCAAUGGAUACUAUCAUUAACUGAAUCCAUAGGUUAAUGAGGCGAACCGGGAGAACUGAAACAUCUCAGUACCCCGAGGAAAAGAAAUCAACCGAGAUUCCCCUAGUAGCGGCGAGCGAACGGGGAGCAGCCCAGAGUCUUAAUCAAUAGCAGUGUCAGGAGAACGGUCUGGAAAGUCCGGCAGUAAAGGGUGAUAGCCCCGUAUCUGAAGAUGCUGUUAUUGUGAACUCGAUGAGUAGGGCGGGACACGUGUUAUCCUGUCUGAAUAUGGGGGGACCAUCCUCCAAGGCUAAAUACUCCUGAUUGACCGAUAGUGAACCAGUACCGUGAGGGAAAGGCGAAAAGAACCCCGGCGAGGGGAGUGAAAAAGAACCUGAAACCGUGUACGUACAAGCAGUAGGAGCCUCUUUAUGGGGUGACUGCGUACCUUUUGUAUAAUGGGUCAGCGACUUAUAUUCUGUAGCAAGGUUAACCGUAUAGGGGAGCCGUAGGGAAACCGAGUCUUAACUGGGCGAAUGAGUUGCAGGGUAUAGACCCGAAACCCGGUGAUCUAUCCAUGGGCAGGUUGAAGGUUGGGUAACACUAACUGGAGGACCGAACCGACUAAUGUUGAAAAAUUAGCGGAUGACUUGUGGAUGGGGGUGAAAGGCCAAUCAAACCGGGAGAUAGCUGGUUCUCCCCGAAAGCUAUUUAGGUAGCGCCUCGUGAAUUCAUCUUCGGGGGUAGAGCACUGUUUCGACUAGGGGGUCAUCCCGACUUACCAACUCGAUGCAAACUGCGAAUACCGAAGAAUGUUAUCACGGGAGACACACGGCGGGUGCUAACGUCCGUCGUGAAGAGGGAAACAACCCAGACCGCCAGCUAAGGUCCCAAAGUCAUGGUUAAGUGGGAAACGAAGUGGGAAGGCUCAGACAGCCAGGAUGUUGGCUUAGAAGCAGCCAUCAUUUAAAGAAAGCGUAAUAGCUCACUGGUCGAGUCGGCCCGCGCGGAAGAUGUAACGGGGCUAAACCAUGCACCGAAGCUGCGGCAGCGACACAAAGUGUUGUUGGGUAGGGGAGCGUUCUGUAAGCCUGCGAAGGUGUACUGUGAGGUAUGCUGGAGGUAUCAGAAGUGCGAAUGCUGACAUAAGUAACGAUAAUGCGGGUGAAAAACCCGCACGCCGGAAGACCAAGGGUUCCUGUCCAACGUUAAUCGGGGCAGGGUGAGUCGACCCCUAAGGCGAGGCUGAAAAGCGUAGUCGAUGGGAAACGGGUUAAUAUUCCCGUACUGGUGGUAACUGCGAUGGGGGAACGGAGAAGGCUAGGUUGUCCGGGCGACGGUCGUCCCGGUUCAAGCAGGUAGGCAGAGUGAUUAGGCAAAUCCGGUCACUUAAUGCUGAGAUGUGAUGACGAACCACUAAGGUGGUGAAGCAAUUGAUGCCCCGCUUCCAGGAAAAGCCUCUAAGCUUCAGGUUACCAACAAUCGUACCCCAAACCGACACAGGUGGUCAGGUAGAGAAUACUCAGGCGCUUGAGAGAACUCGGGUGAAGGAACUAGGCAAAAUGGUGCCGUAACUUCGGGAGAAGGCACGCUGGCGGUAGGUAAAGUCCCUUGCGGACGGCGCUGAAGCCAGUCGAAGAUACCAGCUGGCUGCAACUGUUUAUUAAAAACACAGCACUGUGCAAACACGAAAGUGGACGUAUACGGUGUGACGCCUGCCCGGUGCUGGAAGGUUAAUUGAUGGGGUCAGCCGUAAGGCGAAGCUCCUGAUCGAAGCCCCAGUAAACGGCGGCCGUAACUAUAACGGUCCUAAGGUAGCGAAAUUCCUUGUCGGGUAAGUUCCGACCUGCACGAAUGGCGUAAUGAUGGCCAGGCUGUCUCCACCCGAGACUCAGUGAAAUUGAACUCGCUGUGAAGAUGCAGUGUACCCGCGGCAAGACGGAAAGACCCCGUGAACCUUUACUAUAGCUUGACACUGAACAUUGAGCCUUGAUGUGUAGGAUAGGUGGGAGGCUUUGAAGUGUGGACGCCAGUCUGCAUGGAGCCAACCUUGAAAUACCACCCUUUAACGUUUGAUGUUCUAACCUAGGCCCAUAAACUGGGUCGGGGACCGUGUCUGGUGGGUAGUUUGACUGGGGCGGUCUCCUCCUAAAGAGUAACGGAGGAGCACGAAGGUUGGCUAAGCAUGGUCGGACAUCAUGCGGUUAGUGCAAAGGCAUAAGCCAGCUUGACUGCGAGAGUGACGGCUCGAGCAGGUACGAAAGUAGGUCUUAGUGAUCCGGUGGUUCUGAAUGGAAGGGCCAUCGCUCAACGGAUAAAAGGUACUCCGGGGAUAACAGGCUGAUACCGCCCAAGAGUUCAUAUCGACGGCGGUGUUUGGCACCUCGAUGUCGGCUCAUCACAUCCUGGGGCUGAAGUAGGUCCCAAGGGUAUGGCUGUUCGCCAUUUAAAGUGGUACGCGAGCUGGGUUUAGAACGUCGUGAGACAGUUCGGUCCCUAUCUGCCGUGGGCGUUGGAAGAUUGAGAGGGGUUGCUCCUAGUACGAGAGGACCGGAGUGAACGCACCACUGGUGUUCGGGUUGUCAUGCCAAUGGCAUUGCCCGGUAGCUAAGUGCGGAAGAGAUAACCGCUGAAAGCAUCUAAGCGGGAAACUUGCCUCGAGAUGAGUCUUCCCUGUCGCUUUAAGCGACCUAAAGGAACGUUUAAGACUAAGACGUUGAUAGGCUGGGUGUGUAAGCGUAGUGAUACGUUGAGCUAACCAGUACUAAUGAACCGUGAGGCUUAACCUGACAACACCGAAAGUGUUUUG